AGACCCAUACAACCCGGGAGUAUGAAGAGAGUAUGAAAAUAGUAAUAGGAGAAAAUGAGGCAGAGACUACACCGUAUUGUAAGGGUCUGGGGGCAGAUCUACAGCCGAUGGAAAUCAGGAAGCAAGCACGCGGUGAAUUAUCCCUGAAUUAUCACUGACACUGGACAUAAAUGGAAUUCAGUCAAGUUCCAACUCCAAACAGCAGGCCUGAGGAGAUUUCUUACAUGUUUCCUUCUAGCUUAGAAGACACCAAGCUCCUUUUUGCAACGUGUUAUGCUGGUGACCGGAUAGUUCUAGGGGCUAAUGAGGAGAGAUAAAAUGACAGUGAACCCAGUGACCGUUUCACAUCUAAUCCAGGUUUCGCGCCAGUGCAGUUUUCCCAGGCGAUGGUCCUCUGCAGGUCAGUGGCUUGCUUCAGGAGACCACUCCGCUCUCCAGCACUGACUACAGCUCCUGCUUAAAUGGCAAGGCCUUAAGUAUGCUCUUACAGGGAGAGAAACGGAGAUACUGAAGAAGAGAAAGACAAAGGGGAAAGUGUUGUUCUGGGGAUUGCAUAGAUCUCAAAACUUCGCUACAAGAUUUUACCAGCACACUCAUCAAUUUCAUGUUAGAUAUCGUGCGAGGCCCAACACCGCACAGCGCUGGAUCCUCCCCUCCUUUGUAGCCCUGCUUUGUGAGCCGCUGAGGACCGGCAGCAUUCCCCACGGCGGGCCGCCGUCUAUCGAGGGAGAUGGAUGGGCUCUGCUCCCAGCCGCUCCCAAUGCUCCCGCCUCGCCGGGAAACGGCCAGACCCGCUGAAUUUCAGCCAUUGAGCCCUUCCCCUCCCUCCUUUCCUCUCUCCCGCUUUCUUUCCCGCGUGGCCUGAGGGUUCGCCUGGCUGAGGGGCUGCCUUGCUGUGGGCAGGCUUUGACUGCAGCUCCCGGUGCUGGGGGGAGAAGUGGGCGCAGCGAGGGCUGCGGGCUGGGCUGAGUUUG